rnacentral:lncRNA from 1 species
UCAGACUCUCUUGAAAAGGCAGGUCAAAUGAAGGAUUUCACCUGACCUUAUAGGUCAAUGUCUUUGGAGACAGCAUUUCCAGGUAUUAUAUGGUGCAGAGGGGUCCCUCGUGACACCGCGUGAUGUAGGACUCUAUUUCUGCUUGUCAAAGUAUGCGUAGACUGCCCCGACAAAGGCUUCUCUAGACAGCUCAUCAGCUUUUGCUGUGAGGCUCAGCUGGCUUUAUUUCCCUCCCCCUAGAAGACUCUGGGGCUCCAGUAAAGCCCCUCCCACUCCAGGACACAGGCUGGGGGCAGGUUCUUGACCCUCAUCCAUCACAGUG